AAAUUAAAACUUAAAUGAUAGUAUAUAUGGUAUGAUUUAGGAAUUAUAUGGUCUAUAAUUUACAGUUUUUGGUUUAGAAAAUUAAAAUUUUAAAAUAAAUUUAUUCCGAGUUUGGUGAAAUAGCAUAGAUAAUUUUCACCAUUCGUAAUUUAUUCCAAAACCAGGAGUUUAAAAUUUUAAAUUUGAAUUCUCAAAUCCCAAAAAUAUAAUAAUUAUUAUAUAAAAAUUACUAAUUUUUAAAAUUUAAAUUAAAAAUUAAUUUUAC
rnacentral:lncRNA from 1 species